rnacentral:rRNA from 1 species
GGAGUUUGGGCCGUGUCUCAGUCCCAAUGUGGCCGUCCGACCUCUCAGUCCGGCUACAGAUCGUUGCUUUGGUAGGCCGUUACCCCACCAACUGGCUAAUCUGACGCGGGCCCAUCUCGUACCACCGGAGUUUUUCACACUGUACCAUGCGGUACCGUGCGCUUAUGCGGUAUUAACAGUCGUUUCCAGCUGUUAUCCCCCAGUACGAGGCAGGUUGCCCACGCGUUACUCACCCGUCCGCCACUAAGAUUUAACAAGAUUCUGCCGAAGCUUCAUCAGCGUUAAAUCUCCGUUCGACUUGCAUGUGUUAGGCACGCCGCCAGCGUUCAUC